rnacentral:rRNA from 1 species
GGCUCCCGGGUGGAUUAGUGGCGAACGGGUGAGUAACACGUGAGCAAUCUGCCCUUGACUCUGGGAUAACGUGCGGGAAACUGUAGCUAAUACCGGAUAUGACACCUUGGGGCAUCCCAGGGUGUGGAAAGAAUUUCGGUCAAGGAUGAGCUCGCGGCCUAUCAGCUAGUUGGUGAGGUAAUGGCUCACCAAGGCGACGACGGGUAGCCGGCCUGAGAGGGUGACCGGCCACACUGGAACUGAGACACGGUCCAGACUCCUACGGGAGGCAGCAGUGGGAAUAUUGCACAAUGGGCGAAAGCCUGAUGCAGCAACGCCGCGUGAGGGAUGAAGGCCUUCGGGUUGUAAACCUCUUUUAGCAGGGAAGAAGCGAAAGUGACGGUACCUGCAGAAAAAGCACCGGCUAACUACGUG